rnacentral:rRNA from 1 species
UACGUAGGGGGCAAGCGUUGUCCGGAUUUACUGGGCGUAAAGAGCGCGCAGGCGGUCGUUCAAGUCGCGUGUGAAAGCCCCCGGCUCAACUGGGGAGGGUCACGCGAUACUGAUCGACUCGAAGGCAGGAGAGGGAAGCGGAAUUCCCGGUGUAGUGGUGAAAUGCGUAGAUAUCGGGAGGAACACCAGUGGCGAAGGCGGCUUCCUGGCCUGUUCUUGACGCUGAGGCGCGAAAGCUAGGGGAGCAAACGGG